UGCCUAUUCGAGCGUCAUUACAACCCUCACGCCCCGCGUGGUCUUGGGUCGAGCCCCCCGGGGCUGGCCUCAAAAGCAGUGGCGGUGCCUCUGGGUCCUGAGCGUAGUAAUACUUCCGCUACAGGGCUCCCGAGUGCGCUGGCCAAACCCCAACUCUCCAGGUUGACCUCGGAUUAGGUAGGGAUACCCGCUGAACUUAA
rnacentral:misc_RNA from 1 species